UACGUAGGGGGCAAGCGUUGUCCGGAUUAUUGGGCGUAAAGAGCGUGUAGGCGGCCUGAAAGGUCAGCUGUGAAAACUCGAGGCUCAACCUCGAGACGUCGGUUGAAACCAUCUGGCUAGAGUCCGGAAGAGGAGUGUGGAAUUCCCGGUGUAGCGGUGAAAUGCGCAGAUAUCGGGAAGAACACCCGUGGCGAAGGCGGCACUCUGGGACGGUACUGACGCUG
rnacentral:rRNA from 1 species